AUUCAGUUGAAGAGUCCCAAAUAAGACGAGAGGCGCGUCAAACCGGAU
rnacentral:hammerhead_ribozyme from 1 species